GAUGAACGCUGGCGGCGUGCCUAAUACAUGCAAGUCGAGCGAACGGACGAGAAGCUUGCUUCUCUGAUGUUAGCGGCGGACGGGUGAGUAAUACGUGGAUAACCUACCUAUAAGACUGGGAUAACUUCGGGAAACCGGAGCUAAUAUCGGAUAAUAUUUUGAACCGCAUGGUUCAAAAGUGAAAGACGGUCUUGCUGUUACUUAUAGAUGGAUCCGCGCUGCAUUAGCUAGUUGGUAAGGUAACGGCUUACCAAGGCAACGAUGCAUAGCCGACCUGAGAGGGUGAUCGGCCACACUGGAACUGAGACACGGUCCAGACUCCUACGGGAGGCAGCAGUAGGGAAUCUUCCGCAAUGGGCGAAAGCCUGACGGAGCAACGCCGCGUGAGUGAUGAAGGUCUUCGGAUCGUAAAACUCUGUUAUUAGGUAAGAACAGCUGUGUAAGUAACUGUGCUCAUCUUGACGGUACCUAAUCAGAAAGCCACGGCUAACUACGUG
rnacentral:rRNA from 1 species